UAGAAUGAAUAAAUAUAAAUUGUUUAUUUUUUGUGUUGCUUAUGUCUAGACGAAGCCGUUUGUCGUAAGCCGAAGCCGAUAGGCCAUCAAAUAACAGGUAGCCCAAGCUGAAUGUUAGUGGAGUGGUAGAUUCUUUAGACUUCACAUUAGCAUCAAGGGCUAACCACACGGGCAUAAACAAACGGAUUGUAAAGAAUGCUCAUCUUUGCCACCAUCGCAGGCACCACGCUCAUGACCGCAUCAAACAGAUGUGACCCGCCGAACGCAGCAAUCAGGACGUACACUGCAUAGGGCAACCAAGUAAUGGUGAAUGCCGCGAUGGCCACCGCAGUCAUAUAAGUGAUGUUCUGAAAACGUCUGAGCUGAGCCUGGAUACUUGCCACUGGAAUAGCCAGAGCCAUAUGGGCACUCAAAGCCUUUCGGAUUUGCAAGUAGUAGAAAAGCGAUGCACCCACAGGGAUGAAGUAGGCAGUGACACACAGGAUUAGAAUGUAGGCGAGGUCCCCAGGAGUGUCUGGACUCCAGUUAGGGGCACAGUUUGUGUCUGCGGCUUCGAGUUUCAUUUCUGUGAGCCCUGUUACUGGCGGGAGCAUGAUGACUGCAGAAUACAUCCACACACCGAUGAUAAUUUUGAGCUGGGUCUUGUUCGGUGGUUGGUGCAAAAUAUGAUUGGUAACGUUUUGCUUGGCAAUUGUCCGAUGUAUUGUUAUAGUGAUACAUAGCAUGCUUGCAAUCAUGGAAGUUGCAGCGCAGCCGCCGACGAAACCGAUGAACUUACACACAGCAUCGUUAAAUGCCCAGCCACGCGCGAACGACGACACGAGAGUUGUCGGGAAACUGCCAAGAAUCAUGAAUGUGUUCGCGGCAACUAUGUUCAAGAGAUAGGGAGUCAGGCUUUUUUGUUGGUUCUCCUUUUUAAGUAGAAUCAACAAUGUGAUCCCUUGUAGAAAGCAGCCAAAAAGUAUAAGAAAAAAUAUGAAUCCUGCGAGAAGAUUAUAUCCAUACGGAGUUAGCUGCAUCUCGAUAGCUGAAAAGCGUGUGCUUUAGUUGCCCUUCGCUGGGCUUCUCUGGUCUUGAGUUGAAAAUCUGCGAAAGCGUCUUAGAGCGCGUCACACUAGCGUGGCUGCACCAAAUCACCGGACUGUGUCGUGUUAAUACAAACAUCACGCGGCGCGCUUAAUAAAGUUAUUUUUAUUGGUUGAUGACGUCUGAAGAAAUCAGGUGGGUUGUUCUCUGUAACUAAGAGUGCCUUAUUAAAAUAACACUAAAUAAA